UGUGCGCCGCGGCGUGAGGUAGUUGGUUGUAUGGUUUCGCAUAAUAAAUAGCCCGGAGAUAACUGUACAACCUUCUAGCUUUCCC
rnacentral:miRNA from 1 species